AGAAAAUUUAUCGUGCAAAGAGGAAUCUUCCAUUGAAGGAGACCAUGUUUAUCACCUGUACAGUGAGUUUUCCAUUUUGAUGUGGAUAAUUUCUUGAAACUUUUUGUCUCCAGGGGAUUUAUCUUCAAUCUCAAAAAUAAUCUGUCUAUUCUGUAUGCUAUACUUCCUUGCCCUCAUAUUCCUAAAAUCCUACAUGUGCUACUUCUUGUAUAUUCCAUAUAGGAGUCUCCACAGAGGUACUGAUACGAAUUCUGAUAUUUCUAUCUGCAAAGGAAGUGUUUUGAGAUCCUUUUGUAGAAUACAAUCCAAAUCCAUCAUCCUCUGUACUAUGAUUGGCCUCGUUAUCUUUAUCUCAUUUUAGUUUCCAUUUUUCUCCAGUGUUUGACAGCUGGUGAUCUCAGACACAGUCAGAAUUAUGAAACAGUUUUUCUUCACCACAUUUGGACUCUUGUUUUGUUUCUCUUCUAGAACUCCUCUCAUUGGACACCCAUUGUCUUAUUAGACUUGCUUGUAGAAUCAGACCUCAGGAUGUGCCUUGGAGAAAAGGAAUUUACAAUUUUUUCUUGUCAUCAAAGAUACAUAGGCUAGUCUUGAAGCAUUAAAUAAUAUUUUUUGGUAGUCACUGAUGUAAUCUUCAGCGAUUCUGAUUUCUCAGUCUGUAAGCACUGAUAAGGACCAUUCCAGAUUAGUCCUCUUCAUAGUCUCAGAGGUCCUCUCUUCUUUCCUUGGAGUCACCCAGUGUACCUAAUACCUCAAGCACUGCAUAAAGAAGGUGAGGUGCAACUUCUUGUUGUAGAGGCAGGUAUCUGCAUAUUCUCUCCUACUAUGCUUGAAGCAUUUAGUGAUGUUUUUUUCCUCUAUUGAAAAGUAGAAACCUUACUGCUGCUUACUCUCAUUUUUGUGCUUUUUAUUUACUAGUCUUUUGACAAAGGGCUGUUCUGUCUCUUCUCCUCCUCUCCAAAAAAUGCUUUUUAUAAUAGUUAUCCAUGUGGCCAAGAGAGCAAAAAAGAGUCAGGCUCUAGGCUCUAAGAGUGUAUAUUCUACACUCUUCAAGAAGUUAGGUUACUUCAGAGAUUCAUUAUUUUUGUUUUCUGAACAUGGAUUCCAUCGUUUCAAGUAAAAGGAUUAUCUGUCCUAAUACUUAAGCAUAUCCACAGAAUUCAGUGGGUGCUAUACUGGCUUCAUCUUCUUUAUGUUCACAGGAGAAGCUCAAUCGAGUUAUCCUCUCAUCUGUGUCUGCAAGAAAUGGGUAAUUUUGGUGCAGAGGUUCUUUCAGGAGACUAUGAUGAGAAAAGCCCACAUGCUCCAUGAUCACACUACAUUCUGGAAUCCUUUGCAAGUCUUCAGCUGUUGAAUGCAAAUAAUGACUUUUCUGGUUCUUCCUUUCCCUGUCACCACAGAUUUUGAUUUGUGUCAUCAAAAUAGUCAAGGAGGGAAGAAAAUGACCUGGACAGAUUGUACAUGAAAAAAAAGUGAAUAAAAUUCAGCAUAUAAACAUUGACCUCUAGUUUAGUAAUGUCUGAUUCCAUCAUACCAAAUUUAGUUUCUAGAUGUCAAGUUUUCUCCUUACCAGAGGAAGAAUCUAGUCCUACAGAGAUCUUCCACUAAGAUGAUGAAAUUAGCACUCUCCUGGGGACAAAAUCAGAACAUUAAA
ensembl:lncRNA